UGACAGCAGACUGUGGAGCCCCAGUUAGAGACAGAUAUGAUACCUGCACUGGUACUGAUGACCCUGUUGUGGAGCACAGAUCUCCAGGCUCAAAGCGUCAGUCCACCAGCUGAAGACUCAGUCAGACUGGUGGAUGGG